rnacentral:tRNA from 1 species
GGAGACGUAUCGAAGUGGUCAUAACGGACACGACUCGAAAUCGUGAUGCCCCUUGAGGGACGUGGGUUCGAAUCCCACCGUCUCCGCCA